rnacentral:lncRNA from 1 species
AGCAAAGUUCUGUGAAAACCCCUGCAUGAACUGGGCCCCUGACUCCAGGAAAACAGAGGCAUCUUCCAAUGUCCUUGGAGCCAUGAGACCCCGAAACACCUACCGGGAACAGAGGGGCUUCACCCAGACAGGCCCCACCAGGGAGGAGGAGGCCGCUCUCCCUCCCACCACCGUUGUCGGGGGUGACCCGAGGUGUUCCAGAUGAGGAGCUGAAUCACUGGGACUUAAGUCAAUAAGUGGCAGCCACCAGGCAGGCCCAGCUGGAGCCAAACCAAGGCCUGGAUUCUCCUCGUGGAUGUCUGGUAAGGCCCCACCACGUACCCCAGUCACGUAGUCUCUAAAACUGAACAGAUUUGGGACGCUUCCUCUUAGAGGGCAGCCCUCUUUGGGACUGUUAGUCUGGCCACUUUUACACAUUUCAAGCAUUUUUUGGGUUAGAAAGGGCACAUUUUCUGUAUCCAAAACAGCCCUUACAGGCAGCAGUGGUGGUGCACGGGGCCUGCGUCAGCAUCUCAUCGCUUCCUGAAGCCCCGCUGCCUGGAGUGGGGCCCCUUUUGGGUGUGGCUCUUCAGGAGCAAGGCAAAUUGACGCACAGAGAACUUGACAGAUGUGUAAAUGGAACAGCUUCCCGGAGGUACCUCGAGGAGGGCAAGGGUAAUGAAAUGAAUGAAAUGAACCCCUGCACAGCGAGGGAGCACUUACACCCUGACACCCUCCUGCAGGGAGAAGGAAGAUGACAAGGAUCUCUCUGUUGACCUUUUCAUAGUGCAAACAAGCUACUGAUAGAAAAAAGAAAAUGUUUUCAUGCUUAAAAAAAAAAUAAACACCAUCAGCAACCUUUCCCCAUGGGGAGCAGCAGCAGGUGCUACCACAAGAGAGACAGACAGAUGGAUAUAAUUGCCAAGAGGCUCUCAAACUGGGUUCCAAGGAGCCAGGGGUGUGGAGACCCUCUUCAGGACUGUACAGGCGAAGCAGGGGGCUGGGAACAAGGCCGGUUAUUAUAACCCAACAAACUGGGUUCCAAGGAGCCAGGGGUGUGGAGCCCCUCUUCAGGACCGUGCAAGCAGAAGCAGGGGGCUGGGAACAAGGGGGUUAUUACAGCCCAACCCAGAGCAACUCAGCUUUUUCCUCGUCAUCUGUCAGGCUUCCAGGUAAGACUUCAUUUGAAGAAAAGGUCCUGCAGUAAAGAUGUUGAGAAGUGCUGAUAUGCGCUGCUGGUUAUAUGAAAGGGUGGAAGGAGGACUGGCACGGUGGCUCACUCCUGUAACCCCAGCUACUCCAGAGGCCGAGGCGGGUGGAUCACCUAAGGUCAGGAGUUCGAGACCAGCCUGGCCAACAUAGUAAAAACCCAUCUCUACUGAAAAUACAAAAAUUAGCCAGGUGUGGUGGCAAAUGUCUGUAGCCCCAGCCAUUCAGGAGGCUGAGGUGGGAGGGUGGCUGGAGUCUAGGAGUUUGAGGCUGCUGUGAGCCAUGAUCUAGCCACCGUACUCCAGCCUAGGUGACAGAGUGAGACCUCGCCUUAAAAUUUAAAAAAUAAAAUAAAAUUCAUGGGUAGGCCAGGCAUAGUGGCUCACGCCUGUAACCCUAGCACUUGGGAAGGCUGAGGCUUGGCCAGACAUGGUCGUGGGCAACUGUCGUCCCAACUACUCGGGAGGCUGAGGCAGGAGAAUCGCUUGAACCCGGAAGGCGGAGCUUGCAGUGAGCCGAGAUCGCGCCACUGCACUCCAGCCUGGGCAACAGAGCGAGACUCCGACUCAAAAAAAAAAGAAAGAAAGAAAGAAAGUGUGGAAUGUGCUGGAAGCCAUCUCUGAGUGUGCGGGACCACACACCACACACAUACCAAGGCCUGUGGGAGACCCGCACACCACAGCCCCAGGCCUGCAGGAAUCAGCUGGUCUUUGUCCUGCUCAUGCACUCCGUGUAGAAGAAAUGCAGAAGAGAAGCCUCCUUUGCCAGGGUCCAGCCAGGCCACGCUGCUCUUCCCCUGGCAGGACCACAGGUCGGGAGGACCAAGCUCAGAAACGCAAAUGACACCAAAUCAAGUGGAGCCUCGAGCCAAGUGAAGCUUCUGGAAAAGAGACUUGAACCCAGCAGGGACAGGGGCUCGAUGCAGACGUCAGAGCCAGAGGUGUGGAUCCAGAGACCAGAGGCCAAAGAGAUGUGAUAAACUAUGUCAGUGACUGGAGCCGACCCUGGUCAGUCCCUGGGGCAGGCAUGGCAGCAAGAGGCUGGUUUCCACAUGUGCCCAGAGUUUGCUUCAUGGAAAGGCCAGCUCUGCGCAAAGGUCCAGGGGGGACCAGUCACGAAGGUGUGAAGAGGCCUGAGUGUUUGUCUUCCAUUCAGCUGAGAAAGGCAGAACGCCGCCACACUGCUGCACAGACGGCACCUUCUACACCUUUACACUCCUCACACUGAGCUCCAGGGUCCGGACAGCUGUGCACCUGCCACCUUUAGCAAAGCGAAGGCCAGGGGCCCCUGCUGGCCUUCUGCAAUGGGCAUAUAUUUUGUCUACCCAGCAUUCCUUUCCUUUUUGAGAAUAACUCUUCAGGUCAAAGUAGUCACGCCCAGUCUUCCUGGGCAAGAGAAACAGCCCCUCCUUCCCCUUCUUCCUGGGUGAAUGUGAUGAGGAUGACCAAUUAGAAUAGCCCCACCCCCAAGGCAGGGUAAUUGGCUCAGGGCUGGGCAUGUGACCCAGACCCAGCCAUACUGAGUCCUCCUGGGGUCUUGCCAGAGUUCCUGUGCAAUAAACCCACUGUCUGGGACGGUAAGCACGGCACUAGCUCACGAUGGCCAGUAGCCACCUGGCUCCCCCUUGAAACGGCCUGUCUGCCGGUGCAGCUAAACAGAGCUGAGAGAUGAAGGCACAGCAUGAGCCCUGAUGUGCGCUUUCUGCUCCUGCUCCUGCUCCUGCCCCUUCGGAGGCCUGUGCCAGUGGCAGCUGGGCCCGGAGACACCAGGCCGGCACUGCUCUCUUUCGAGGCACCCGUGUUUGUGCCGACGCUGACUCCCGGUUGUCUGCAGCAGCCACGUGGCCGAAAUGGAGCCUCUCCACGGGGGCUCCUUCCCCAGCCCCUGGAUGGCACAGCAGCCUCUCCUGUCUGUCACCACGUGUGACCUGCUCCCUUAGUCUUCAGCCGCUCAUCCACGUCUGCAGGGGCAUCUAACUCUGUCCCAGGGUAUCCCAGACCCUGGCUCACGCCCCAGGCUCUCCAUUCAGGCUCCAUCGUCCACCUCAGACCAUCUCGGGUUUGCUGGUCUUCUGGACUAGCGCAGCCAGAAAGAACCCAGGAAGGAAGCCUCACGUCUGACACAAGAACCUUCGGUGCUAACCCGAGGGCGGUAUGUGCAUCCUCAGCACCUGCCCAUCCGGCACCAUCCUCUGAUCCAGGGACUGUGAGCAACAGGGCCCCGUGGCCAGGACAUCUCUCACCCUCCAGUUAAAAUCUCGCCAGUUGAGUCUGCCCAUGAAAGUAGGCGCUGAACUGCCCAAUAAAUCCACAAGUAAGAGUUGCAAGAAGGAGCCAAAAAGGGCUGAGCUGAAUGACUCAUAUAUGAAAUAAUUUGAUAAUUAAUAUAAAUAGGAAAUUUAAAGUCUCCAGCUGAGUGACAGAAAACACCUUAAAAAGCUCAAGAGAGAGGAAAGGAAGAAAAUAAACCUAUAAUUGCAAAAUAAAAGCAUUGAAAGAAGCCGUGCUCAAGGUAAGAUGCUACAGAUGCAAUAAAUUCAUGUUUUAACAUUAGCAACGUGUGGGCAACGGUGUUCCCUGGGGAACUGGCUGCAUGAAGCCUCUCUGGAGAGCUGGGCCAGGCCAGUGGGAGGGCAGCUGGCACGGCCGGGGCUGGUGCGGGGUCCUGAGGCCAGAACCUGCCGGAGGGCCGUCCCCAAGGACCAACAGGCACGGGAGAGGCAGAAUAUAAACGCAGUCAGGGAGUAAAGGCUGUGCAUUCUCCCCGGGUAUUGCCUCCACCACCCCCGGGCCACACUUGGGCCUGCCCAGUUCCCCUAGCUCUUCUCUUUCCUGCCUUGCCUGCCUAAGGCCCCUCUCCCCCUGCACUCCACUCGUAUCUGCUUCUCCGCCUCCUGCCCAGUCAGCCUGCUGUGCAGAGCUCCCGCAGCUGCCUCAGAUCCACCCUUCCUGGGUGGCUGCUCCUCCCCGCCACCGCCCUAGGAGCACCCCAAGUAAAAUCUGGUUUUUCUCCCCUCCAGGUCUGCCUCUGCCUUUGCUCCUGCUAUCCCCAGGGCCCCAGGUGCCCCUCCCUCCACCUCAUCCUUCUGGACCCAGCAAAUGUCCUCCACCAGGAGGCCUUUCUGGACCUCCUCAUCCUCCUGGAAGGAGCCUCUCCCACCCCGAAGUCCUUUAACUAUUUACUUGUCCCUCUCCUUCGUACUGAGCUUAUGCUGUAUUUGUUUAUGUGCUUAUCUUCUACUGGGCUCAUCUCUGUAACCUUUUUAUUCUUUUAUUCAUUCAUUCCACAAAUACUAAUUGAGCACCUACUAUGUGCCAGACCCCAUGCUAGGACUGGGGACACAAUGAUGAGCAAGACAGACACUGUCCCUGCCACCCUGGAACUCCCAUCUUGGAGAGAAACAACAAAAACAAAACACGAAGCAAAUAAACAUUAGUAAACACGUCAGGAUAAGCGGCGAUAUAGGCUGGGAUAGAAAGGUGUAGGUGAUGUGAGAGGCGAGUGUCCGUGCGGACAGAGGAGCUGGGGGAGGAGACUCUGAGGCCAGAGGUGUGAGCGGAGUGAGUCGGGCACGCUUUCCAGACACAAAAUCGGUGUUUGCUAAACAUGCGUGGAACAAAUGAGUGGCUAACAAGCCAGAAAUCCCAAGCGCGUGCCCCGUGUCGCUCCAGACACAACUUCCCCACCCUCAUCACCCUGUGGGUCACUCCGACUGGCACCCAGACGCGUUUCCCAGCCCACACGCCUGCUACAGGGCCCACCUGUGUCACCCUCGCAGAGGCGCUUACCAGGACUCAAGGGGCUCUCCGCUCAGAACCCCUCAUGGCCUCCCUGACACCACCAGCGGCCCUCGGGCUGGACAGCAAGCGGGUUUUGUCUCGCCUGCAGACUCCAGCCCCGGAGCACCACGCAUGGAAGCGCAGCGAGGCCGCCCCUGGGCUCGGUGGGAAAGAGCCCUGAUCGACUGGUGGCGUCUGCCAGGGGACGGCAGAAGACAGAGAGGCACAUUUGCCACGUAUUUUCCUUGUCACCCAGGGCUCCGCAAAUGACCACUCAGGCAAGAAAUCUCCUUCAGGUCUAAUUGCCUGGACGAGCAUUCAGUAUCUGGUGCCCUUUCCUUAUGGGCCACGUGAACCACGUCACUGAUUUUUUUUUCCUGCUUUGACUGCUCAUUAGCUCAGAGCUAAAUGUGUGGUUCAAACACAGCAAAGUAUAUACAGCUCGAUGGCCUGAAUAGGGGGUCUAACUCUCCCCCUGCUUUCAACCUUCUAGCUAAUCUACAUCUAUGUCUUUCCUGAUCUUAUUUUUUUGAUCUCUAUUUAGUUACAUGUCCAUAUACAUACACACAUAUAUGUAUAGACAUAUAUAAACAGACAUACAUACAUAUAUAAAUAUAAAAUAUCUACAUAUAGGUCUGGUAUGUAAUACCUACUUUACUUUUUUUCUAUGAAUGUAUCUUUUAGAUAUAUAGAUAUAUUAUGAAUAUAUCUUACUUUAAAAAAUAGAGACAGGGUCU